rnacentral:rRNA from 1 species
CAGUAGCCGCGGUAAUGCGUAGGGUGCAAGCGUUAAUCGGAAUUACUGGGCGUAAAGCGUGCGCAGGCGGUUUGUUAAGACAGAUGUGAAAUCCCCGGGCUCAACCUGGGAACUGCAUUUGUGACUGGCAAGCUAGAGUGUGGCAGAGGGGGGUGGAAUUCCGCGUGUAGCAGUGAAAUGCGUAGAUAUGCGGAGGAACACCGAUGGCGAAGGCAGCCCCCUGGGCCAACACUGACGCUCAUGCGCGAAAGCGUGGGGAGCAAGCAGGAUUAGAUACCCCUGUAGUCCCUGUCUCUUAUAA